UUGAAAGCUCAAACAUUGAGUGUUUAUAUUUAAGAGCUUCUUCCUUCCAUGCUAUUGGAGAAUAUAGAGAAGCGGUGAAGGAUUAUGAUGCAGAAAAUUACAAAUUGUAUGAAGAAGUUGGAGAAGGUGUCAGCGCCACUGUUCACCGGGCUCUCUGCAUUCCUUUGUGUUGACUGGGAUUUGGGAAUGUAUCCUGCUCAAAAUUGUCUUUGUUGUACAUGAACCUAUUAUGAUUAAUUGAAUACGAAUCCCUAUUCUGCAGUGUAAUGAUGUGUAAUAUGCUUGACUAUUCCAUUGCAUCUGCAUGUGCAAGCAAAUGACUUAACCUAUUUUUUCUUUUUA